GCCGCUGCUGCUGCUGCACUGACGGCCGUCGCCCGCGCUUCAGAGUUACUGAUUUGUACUUGAGACAUCUCCGCUGUCAUCUGUAUUCAUGGAUGAACUUCAGGAUGUUCAGCUCACAGAGAUCAAACCACUUCUAAAUGAUAAGAAUGGUACACGAAACUUCCAGGACUUUGACUGUCAGGAACAUGAUAUAGAAACAACUCAUGGUAUGGUCCAUGUCACUAUAAGAGGCUUACUGAAGGGAAACAGACCAGUUAUCUUAACAUAUCAUGACAUUGGACUCAAUCAUAAAUCCUGUUUCAACACAUUCUUCAACUUUGAGGAUAUGCAGGAGAUCACUCAGCACUUUGCUGUGUGUCAUGUGGAUGCCCCAGGCCAGCAAGAAGGAGCACCUUCUUUCCCAACCGGGUACCAGUACCCUACAAUGGAUGAGCUGGCUGAAAUGCUGCCUCCUGUUCUCACCCACCUAAGUCUGAAGAGCAUCAUUGGGAUUGGAGUUGGAGCUGGUGCUUAUAUCCUCAGCAGAUUUGCACUCAAUCAUCCAGAGCUCGUGGAAGGCCUUGUACUCAUUAACAUUGACCCAUGCGCUAAAGGUUGGAUUGACUGGGCAGCUUCCAAACUCUCUGGCUUGACAACCAAUGUUGUGGACAUUAUUUUGGCUCAUUGUUUUGGGCAGGAAGAACUGCAGGCCAACUUGGACUUAAUUCAAACCUAUAGACUGCAUAUUGCCCAAGAUAUCAACCAAGAAAAUCUACAGCUCUUCCUGGGUUCUUAUAAUGGACACAGAGACUUGGAAAUUGAAAGACCCAUUCUAGGCCAAAAUGAUAACAGAUUAAAAACAUUAAAGUGUUCUACUUUACUGGUGGUGGGGGACAAUUCACCUGCUGUUGAGGCUGUGGUUGAAUGUAAUUCUCGCCUCAACCCUAUAAAUACAACUUUGCUAAAGAUGGCGGACUGUGGGGGACUGCCCCAAGUAUUUCAGCCUGGGAAGCUCACCGAAGCCUUCAAGUACUUUUUGCAGGGAAUGGGCUACAUACCAUCUGCUGGCAUGACCCGGCUCGCCCGAUCACGAACCCACUCAAACUAGAGUAGCAUCGGCUCUGGAGAAAGUCCCUUCAGCCGGUCUG